rnacentral:lncRNA from 1 species
GGAAGCUUUCAGACACAGGUAAAUCCAUCCGCUCAGUUGGGAAGCUCCCCAGGAUUAGGCCCCCGCCUGGCUGAUUCCUGGGUCUGAACACGAAUGGAAGGGGGGGUGAAAAUGGCAGUGAAACCACAGUAGAUCUUUGAGAAGUUUUCAAGUAAUUCUCCUUUCCCCUCCAGGGGAGCUAGAGAAGGGGAGGGGCUGUCCAAUAGAGGAUCCAAGGUAGGCUCCACUGGGCAGAGGGCCAAAUAGGCAAGAGGGCAAGUUCAAAGGGAUGGCCGUGAAGCCCAGGGGGAGCUGGUGAGGGGCAGCACUGCCCACACAGCACUGUGGCCGAAGCCGUGUCAUUCAGACGCGUCAUUGGGAGGAAUCAGUGUUCUUCUCUGACUAGGCCUGUGUCUUUUUCCUGCCGGGCCCCAGGCUGGGACCCUCUUGCAUUGUGGGCAGACACCCUGGCCCCAUCGUUGCAUGGUGGCCCAGGCUUCAACUGGGGGUGGGGAGCAUCAGCAUGGUUCCAAGGGUGGAAUUUCCUAGUAGCCACGAGCUUUCAGGGUACCUGGUCUGCAGCGGGUAGAAGAAGAAAGGCUGCAGACUUCUCCCAGGUGGCGCCUGACCCCAGAGAGCGAAGGACUCAGCCUCCAGAUUCACAGAACUUCUUUGAGCCACUAGUUCAUGGCCAGGCCUUUCCAUGAGUGGAGACUUCUGAGAACCUCGCUAGCUCUGGUGUCGCCAUCAACCUAGCCCACAGUGGUGAUUGGGAAGGGCCUUGUGCUGUUUCUGGAGGAAGAGUUUUGAGCUGGGUUUGGGGUAGAGCAGAUUACCCUCCAUCUUCCUUCCUCCAGCCUGUACUGACCAGAUACACCCACUUAACCAGUCUAAGCUGAGGCCGCCCCUACACCCAGGUUGGGCACCAGUUUUGCCAGUCUGCUGUAGGGGGUAGAUGCUCUGGUGCCGUCUUGGUAGGAAGGAGCUGCCAGAGCCAAGGACAGAAUGGGCUGUCUUGGGGGUACCAAGUUUCCUGGUAUCUUUCAGACAGCCUGGUUGCGCACUGGGCAGUGAUGCCGAGAAGGAUCAGAAAUCAGAUGACCUUGCAGGUCUUGGGCCCUCUGACACCCAGCUUGGUUUUGUUCAGUGGGGCCAGCUUGUGGGAAGGGGGUGAGUAGACAGAGUGAGAAUCAUUUGGACCUUCUUUUUUUUGGUACCAGGGAUCGCACUUGGGUCCUUGCACCUGCAAGGCAGGUGGCAGAACCACUGAGCCAAAUCCCCAGCUCUGGACCUUCUUGAUAGAAAGUGUUUGAGACAGGCAGCUCUGGGCUAUGAGGUGGCCUUGGCCUUGACCAGCCUGGACACUGGUUAUAAAACAGGCACAAUACAGGACAGCAGAGCCAUUCUCCCACAGGAGGCAAGGCAGAGAAGGCAGGUCUGGAAAGGCCCCUAGGGAGAUAUCGGCCUAGGCCCCUGUUCCUGAGUGAGGGCCAAGCAAGGGGGCCACCAGAUCUGCUCCCCACGAGAGACUUGGGGGGUUGGAAGCCAAAUCAGCCUAGCCCUCCUCGGCACUGCCGAUCUUCCCUGCCCCCUGCAGCCAGGGAAUCUGGCUGAGUUGCAGCUUGGGUUUUUAUGAUGGAAAAAUAAAAUAAAUGGAGGCACCUUUGGAGGGCUGAGUCACGGCAGCAACAUCUCCUCAUUAAAGCUGUUGCCCCUGGCUCAAGGCCCUGCCCACUUCCCCAGGCAGGGGACUGGGUGGGGCUCGGGAAGGCUCUUGGCCCUGAGUGCCCUCCUCCUUGGACCCUGCCAGGGGCAUCCCCACCGUCCAGCAGCCGCCCUGGGCUGGCCUGCUGUUCUUAGAGGGGCCACUGCCAGCCCCAAGCCCCAAGGACUGGCGUCUAACCCUGCCCUCCUGGUGCUGGCUUUUAAACCUUGACCACUCUGGCUGCUGCCACCACAGCCACCACACCUGCUGCCUCUUCUUCCUCCCCUCUCCUCCCCUCUCCCUCUGCUCCUUUUCCUCCUCCUCCUCCUUUUCCUUCUCCUGGUCCUCAUCUUCAGAGCCCAAAGGAAGUUGCUCUGUAGCAGUAUUACUCUUGGGUCCCCAAGGUGAACAGCAGCUCCUGGGGUAGCCGGGGCCAGGGGCCAGCGAGAGCAGGAAGGGGUUGAGGAGGAGGAAGGCUGUGGCCUGUGUGGAAGGAGGAAGGACUACCUCACUGGGAUGGCUUUGGAAGGUGGCAGCCUGGUGAUCAGCGCCUCACACCUCAGGCCCUGUAGGGGAAGAGCCCCUGGGCAGGUUGGUCAGGCUGCAAGUCAGCAGCUCUUGGGCAGCUCCUGUGGAGGAGGCACCAAAACAUAGGCUGCCUGGUCCCCCACCCCCAGGUCUGCAGGCCUGCUCAGUAGAAGUCAGCUGGGACCUGAGAGAUUUGUUUAGGUGUGACCUUACAGAUUCUCCCUUCACCACCCACACCAUGCAGACUUCCACCAAGCCUGUCUUCUCCGAGUCCUUCUCACACACACCCCCCGCCCCCAGCAGCUCCUGCUUCCCGUUGUGCAACCACAUUUUUCUGCCUUUUUGGCCAGGCUGCCCCUGCUUCAGCAGGCAGGCCCUUCCUACUCACCUUCCCUGCCACUCCCACCCUUGCCAGCCUCACACCCAGUUGGCCCUGGGAAGAGAUAAGAGAGAAGUGGCUGGCUAGGGGCCUGUUGCUCUGAAGAUCUGCUUCUACCUGUGACAUUGCUGUGCCAGGACAGCACUCACACUAAUGUGUCCCAAGCUCAGGAGGCCAGGGCCAAGGCCAGGGCCUUGUUUUUUUCUGCUGUUGCUACUUCUAAUGGUGACCAUCAGAUGUGACCAUUAGCCACUGUGUUGACGUCUCCCAGUGCUUGGUACGGUCUCAGACUGCGUGCCUUCCGCCUCAGUGCUGGUGUGAUUGAUUGAUGGAUGGAUGUGCCUCUUCCCCAAGUGCCUGCCCAGCUUCUGAGUGGGGCAGAAGGAGGAAGGCAGGAAAUGCUAGCUAUUCCCUUGGGACCUGGGUUUUAGCUCCUCAAGAGCUUUCUAGGCCUGGUUUACAGGAAGAAAUGGGACUGAGGUCAAGGUUGAUGUGAAGGGGUGAGAUGACAUAAGGACAAAGGUAGGCAUUGCAUAGUUGAAUGGGGGCCCCAGAGCACCUACCAGCUGUGACCAUGACAUGCAGCAGGGAGGGCUUGGAGUGUGAGGUCAGAAGAGCAGUAGCCAGUGUGGCCUGAGCCUCUGCUCUGCUUCCUCCCUGGCCCGUUGCCACCUCCUCUGUGUCUUCCCUCCUGUCCAGCUGAUGGCCUCCUCUUCCUGUAGCAUGUGUAUCCUUCCAGGUGGGACCCCUUCAGCUGGUGUACCCAGUGCAGGCAGGGAGGCCAGGCAGAGGGCCUGGGGCACAUGCUGAGGCACAGCCCAGACUGCCAGGGCCCCAGACCCCAGCCCCAGAGUGGAAAGGGGAUCUGCUGAGUUGGCAGGGGAUCUGCUCUGAGGUUGUCCAUGGACCUGCCCUCUUCCCCCUCUGGGGCUCUUCCAGCCCCACAGGCUCAGCCAGUGCCAUGAGACCCCCUCCUGCAGCCAAGCAUGCCCACUCUUGUUGCCUCCUGGGCUGAGGUGAGGACACUGUCUGGCUUUGGGGGAGAAAGUGAGUGGGGAGAGAGAACAGAUCCCAUUUGUGGUCCCAAAGGCCAAGGAUUCCUAGAGGAAGCCUUUCAAAUUGAGCUUUUCUUACAAGGGCUUUGUCCUUGAACCUAGAGGUCCCCAGGAGAGACCAUGCUGCAUGACGACAGGAGACCAGAGGAGCCAGGUGGAGCCUCAGGCCUGGGACUCCAGUGUGGUAGGAAGGUGGCAGUGUCCAGGAGGCCAGCAAGGAGACUGCUGGCAGUUUGUGUCACUGGAAGCACACCUUUUCCCUGGCUGUGAUCUUUACUUGCCUCUGACCAGAACCUCCCUCCCUGCAGCCCAAGAACCAUGGGCACUGCAAGCCAGGGCCCCUGGUCAACCACAGGAGGAUGGCUGAGGAGCGCUGCUGCCCAGCAGGGGGCGCCCCACCAUAUCUGCCCCAACCCUCACGGGGACUGGGACCUGGGUCCCACCUUGGUCCAGGCUUUCGGUCCAGGGCUGGGGGGGGGGGAGCCUGCCCUCCCCACCUCCAGAGGUUCCUUGGCUGAGUUUGUUUUGCCAGGGUGACCUGUUUAAUCAUCUCAUUUUCUGGUGGCCGUUUAUUCCUCGUUUCCAUGGUUACGGCCCCAUUAAGGGGAGAAGCAAUAAGGCAGCGAGUCAAACAGGUAAUAAAAACAUUAAAGCCCAUGUGCACAGAGCGAGGAUGGGGCGGGGGAGGGGGCGCAGUGAGGUGAGACGGCCCAGGGAGCAGGCCUCGGCCACCAGCCCCACAGGAAGGCUGUUCCCCAGCUUAGGCGUCCCGUCCCCAGCCCUCCGUCUCCUGGGCCACAGGCUGCACUUGGAGGUAAAACAGGAAGGAGCGAAGUGAGAGGGAGAGUGACAAAAGCUCCCCCAGGACUGUUCCCAGCUGGUUGUGUGACCUGUUUCCAGGCUCCACCUCGCCCUCCCCUGGCGGGGGUGGGGGAUGAUUUCUGACGUUGUUUUGAGCUCUUGAAUUUUUUUGCCAACUUUAUCAGAAAGCAUAUUUGUGGUGAGUGCUGCUAACAGGGCCAGUCUGAUGAGUAAAUAUUCCUGGUGUGGACGGCCCUGUGACCUUGAGAGGGAAGAGCGCAGCGGCAGAGGCCAGGGCAUCGGCAGGAGCCAGGGCUUGCGGGGAGAGGAGGGGCUCUGUGCUGGAGAGGCUAGGCACUCCUGUCCCAGUGGGGAGCUCUUCCUGGGAAGGGGCCAGGUGGGGGGUGAGUGGGCUCUGUUUGUCCCCCAGCACUCUCUUCCCAGCAGUAGGGUCUGUCCUGAGCACAAGUGACACACAGUUCAGGCUGGGUUGUGUGACUUGCUGAGGAGCUGUAGCCAGUUCUCCUGGGGCUCUCUUCCUGUCCUACGCCAAGGGUGAAAUGCUGUGUGGAAAAGCAGCCGCCGGCCCAGGCCCCUGAGCCCCAGGUGCACCCACCUCCCAGUGUUGCUCCCUGCCCUUCCUGCAUGUCCAGCCCUCUGCCCUGCCCUCGAGGCUGGCCGGAGACUGCAGGGAGGAGAGCAGCAGGAAGAGUGCAGCAGGGCUGGAGUGGUGCUGCCUGAGGGUGCUGCACCGGGGCCAUUGCUCAGGGAGCAGAGAGGGCUGGGGCCAGCUCAGAGUCCCUCCAGGCUGAUGAGGAGCUUGCUUUCCUGUUCUCUCCCCUGUUGCGAUCCCCUGCAAACACAUGGAGGCCUGGGUCUCUGAUUAUUAAUUUCAAAGUUGAUUCUGACUUGAGAGGGGAGAGAGAAGGUAUGGGAAAUGGGGAAACCCUUUGGCUGGGAACUGUGCCUUGGGAGCAGGCCUAGAUGAGUUAAUAUUCUGAUCAAACAAUUAAAAAUAGAAAAUGUUCCCUCGGCACCAGCUGCUGAGGCUCUCGGCAACUGUCACCAGCGGGUUCAGGGGGCAGGUGGUACUGGAGGGAGCUUCCCCACAAGCAGCAGAUUUCAGAGAUCGCUGUGUGCCCACUGCCACCCAGGCCCAGGACAGGAGCUCAGGGCUCCCAGUCCUCCCAGUUCCCCCAGGAGCGGGGCCUGUGCAGCUUCAGGGCCGAGCUUCUCCCCUCCAGGCCCAGCCGCUCGGUGAAGUCAUCGCCAGAUGCCUUGGUAAUUGCUUUAAGAAUCCAACUUAAAAUAAGAUGAAAACUUAUAUUCCUGGGUGAGGAGUAAUUUCCCAUCUAAUAGUAAAUUAAUGAAAGGAUUAGAGCAGGGGGGCCAGCUGGGAGCCCAUGCUCAUCUGAUAAAUGCAACGUCUCAGGCCCACCAGCUCUAGACCAGGAUGCUACUGCAUCCCAGGCCAGGCCACACUUGUGAGUUCCCCGGGGGCACACCAGGGCCGGCUCAGGUAGGGGGACACAUCCCUUGUGUGCUCACACUCCCUCCAGGGAACUGUGGGGACCGGUGGGUCAAAACCCCCAGUGAGAGAGGCUCAGGUCUGACCUCCCAUGGGCCUGAGAACCCCGUCAUCAGUUCCCCCAAGGAGGGAUCUCGGGAACAAGAACUCUGUGCAGCCUUCACCUGUUACAACUGUGUUGUCAGCAAUCAGGUGACCUUGAAGUCAGGUGACUAAGUGCCCACAUCCCAUGAUCCCCUCUGUCCUGGGCACACUGGGAUCAUUGAUAGCCCUGUCCAGAGGGUGGCCAGUGGGCUGCUUGACAUGGCUACUCCCUCUGGGCUCCGGAGAGCACAAGCACCUUGGACACUGAAUCUGUCCUCUCCACCUGAGUCUGCCUCGCUCAUGAUAACCAAGGCUUCUCUGUGGGCUGCUGUGUUCAGCCAGGUGCUAUGUCCUAGGUGUGUGGCCAUGCACCCUGCCAGCACCCCCAACAGUGGCGCACUGCCUGGAGGCCUGAUGGGCUUGGAAAAGGGCUUGCAGCUGCGACCCCAUCUCUUUAACUCUGAGCCCUCUCUCCCCUGGAUCACUGCAGGGUGGCUUCUGGAGAGGAGUGGACCACACAACCCCUCCCCUCUGAGUUUACCCAGCACUUUCCUUCAGUGAAUGUCAGCUAAGGCCACACCUAAUAUCCCACCUCUCAUUAGCUCCUUCGGAGAAAGACAGGAAUUGUCCUGUUUCACAGGUGGGAGGGCUGGAGGAGCAGCAGCUCACUGGGAGAGUGCUUGCCUAGCAUGUCUGAGGCCCUGGGUUCAAUACCCACCCCCCCCUUCUGCCAAAGCACCACAAAUAGACAAACAGAAACACAGGUGGAGAAACAGGAGGCCCAGAGACUGCCGGGUUUGUUCCCAAAUGCCAGGAGACAGACACAGCGUGGAGCUUCCUUCCACGGGGAACGUAGGCUUCCCCGAGGACUGUACCACAUGGCAGGGCUGAGUGGAGGCGCCCGGCUUCUGACCCUAGGUAUGUACUGUGCUGCCUGGCCUGCAUCCCAAAGUCUCUGGGCCCCAUGUGUAUCCCACCUGUCCUCUGUGGUCAUAUCCCUGGGCCUCACAUGCAGCGCAGUGGCUGAUGGAUGUGAAUUCAGAGCUUUUUGCAGGAAAGUCUCCUUGUCUAAAGACUUCUAUUUUGCCCAUCUCCCCAGAAAGGGGUGCUCCCACAUCUGCAGGGGCCAGGGCACUCUGGCUUGUCCUCCUGGUGAAAGGAAGUGAACAGGCUGGACGAAGGGCCCUUCAGGAAGUCUAAAUGAGCAGGCGUUCUAGCGGAUGCAUGUUUGUGUGCUGUGUUUCUGUGAAACCAGAGAUUUUGCGGAAAGGGAAGCUGGGGACAGUCCCCUUGGUUUCCUAGGAGACUGCUUUGGUUAGCUCAGGAGUGGGGAUCCCCACUGGCCUCCCUUGCCACUAGAAGUAGCAGCACUGCCUUGGAAGUGCCAGGAUCCUGCUGCUGCUUUGCAGACAGCUGUCCCAGAUCAGGACCUUGGUGUGGGGGCUGUACUGAGUCACUUGGGCUUUGCUGGGAUGGAGCCUGAGAGACGACCAACUUCUUACCUAGAGUGGACUGCACUUUGCUUUUGGGAUGGAGCACAGCUUGGUGUUCUUGGGAGAACUUGUGAUGCACCAGUGGCCUAUCCACCCUCUGUCCCACACCUACCCCCAACCCAGAGGAAGGAGUUAUGGAGCAGUAGGGCUGAGAAUUCCUAGUCUAAACAUCCCAGGAAAGCGUGCUCAGGGAGGGAGCCAAGCCAGAACCACAGAUGGUGUGAUCCAGAUCGUAACAGGGAGGGGGGUGGCUUUGAACAGUGGAUGUUACGUGGCAGUUGCUGUUCAAGCAGACAGAUUGGUGAAUUCCAGGCUGCAGGGAUCUGAGCAGGCCCUUGUUUAUUUAUCCCCUACUUGGGGCUGGGUGAAUGGGUGGGACAGACAGAAGGACUGAUAGGGCAGGAGGUCGACAGCCAGCCUAGGAGCACCCACCUCAGCCUGCCAACCAUCCCAUCCCAUGCGCCGGCCAGUCACCAUCCUACAUAGGACUCCAUAGGCCCCCUUCCCUGAUGGGAACCGUGGGCAGGGCUUCAGCCCAGAGCCAAGCUUCUGCUCUAUUCCAGGCACCAGAGUGGCAGAAAUAAAGGAGCCCUGUGCCUGCCUUCAAGGGCCUGUGCCUGGUCAGUGUUAGCAAAGUGGCCUCGGGGAAGGGCAAGACCAGGGCCCGCCUCUGCCCAGGGCCGGCACCAUCCAGUCUGGCCACAGAGGCAGACCCUUGCACUCUACCUCUCCUGUCUCGCUCUGGCUGCCUGCCACUGAGAGCACCCCUGGGAAGCCAUCCUUGCGCCUGCCGUCCAGGGCCAGAGGUUCAGGGCCCAGGUGCCCUCGUGCUGGAGGGAGAGCCCCCAGAUGGUGGUAUCGGUGGCGUGGGCCGUGAAUCGCUGAGGUUUUCCUUUUCCAAGCAGCGCGUUUCCUAAAUUGUCUUUGACUGUGUGCAUGGGUAAUGAAAGUUUAUGCCCUUGUUAGAAGGACAGGCGGCCAGUUCCAGUUAGAACUGGGGCUGUCUCCCCUGCCAGCCCCCUCUGCCCCCUCCCCAGCAGGAGAGAGAGUAUGAACACGAUUGUGUGGGUGUGCGUGUGUGUGCGUGUACACACAAGCCCCCUCCCUGGUGGAUAAGGAGGCUGUUAGGGAAAGGAAGAGGGGACAGAAAAAAGAAAAAAUUUCCAUAUUUGUGUAAGUUGCUUUAAAAG